CUUUCAUCUAUAAAAGGAUAAAACACCCUGCAAUUCCAUAUGACAGAAGUUUGCCUGUUCACUGUUCAGACUCCUCAAUAAGUGUUCUUUAACACCAAAAAGUUCAAGAAUGAUGGAUGCAACAGUCUUUACGCUCGCACAGGGAGAAGUCCCAAAUAACUUUGAAGUUGUCAAAUCAUUUGAACGUUCUUAUAAGGAGAGGAUGAGUAAAAAGGGGUACAUUUUCCUGACACCCACUGGCUCAAGCUCAUUUGCUUACCAUGCUGGAGUUUGCUGUGAAGAGGAUGAAAUCAUCCAUCUAACUCAAAACACAAGAGGCUCAUUUGGAUCGAUGGCAUCCUCUGGUACUGGAAUGUACUGCAAAACAAGUGUGAAAUUGUUUAUAACUAAUAAUGGAAAACAAGAGAAAUUCAUGAUCUUGAAAAAGAAUGGCUCACUCCCUUCUGAUUUUAACGCAAGGGUUAGAAGAGCGAUGAAUUCAGGAAAACCGUACAACCUUUUAACUUAUAAUUGUAUCCAUUUUGCACUGGAACUCAUUAGUUAAACAGUAUUUUGGCAAACUCAUUAACACAAAUCUUCCACGUUUGAAACCUACAUUUUUGAAAGCAUUUUUUGAAAAUGAUGAUGCCAGGUGAUUGCUUUUUGUAAGUUUUUGUCUAGAGUUGUUCACAUAAGAUAAUAAAAAAGGUAUUCCGACUUUAAAAUAAGGAUUUAAUGUAGCCUAUGUACAAUGUUAGUGUGAUCAACAUGAUCCACCACCACAUUCCAGAAAUGAUUUUGUUAAGAAUUUCUUCUAAAACACAUUCAAGUUCAUGUCUUUUAUUUGUCAGGUGCACAGAACAACACAAGGUUAGACUGGGCACUGAAAUUCUUAAGAUAAGAGAACGCAAGCACCUGGCAUAACAUAACAUAUAAUUACACGAAACAAAUUUACAUCUAUGCUGAGCUUAGAUAAGUGAACUUCCUAAAUAUACAGCAAUAAAUAAACGACUAUACUAACAUGAAUUAUUAUCUGUAUAAAAUUGGCUUUCUAUGGGUAUUAUUGUUAAAAAGGGCAUUGUAUUAUAUUUUAAAAGACAGUUAUAUCUGUAUGUUCUACGAUACCCUGACAUUGGCAUCACACUUAGUGUUUCUUUUGUUCAGUUAGCCUACUCCAAAACUUUUUCACUUAAUGCUACCUGUCUGUUUGCUUUCCGCUGUGGCCUUCCUGGAUAUCACUUCAGUUUUACCAGUGUAUUUGGACACUUAGGGCCUCAUUUGCUAACAGGAACACCCCGCGCUAUUUGCGGUUGGGCAAAGGCGCAGAUUAAGCUGCGGUCGCAAUGUUAGUAAAUGAGGCCCUUUGUGUUUUGUACUUCUGUACAGUAAACUGAUUUGUUGCACACAUUUUGACUAUGUGAAAUAUGCUAACUUUGGAUGUAACUAAUGGCAUUUUGUGGCUCAAAGUUAAAUUACUAAAACAAAUACUUUAUUCCCUCCCAUUGAGUUCUCCAUAACAAUCUUUACAUCAUUUAGGAAAUGUGAUUAAAGAAGUAAUAUGUUCUGUAUUAUAAUUCUGUACUACUCCUGUUCAAUAGAGCUUGUAGUAUUUAAAACUGUUCAUAAUUGACCAUA